rnacentral:ncRNA from 1 species
AGUUGUUCAAGGUAAACCAUUCGCAAGGAUGGGACACAAAGCUAUCCCGACGUUCCAGCGAAACUGGAAGUCGGGACCCCGAU